rnacentral:lncRNA from 1 species
GGAGAAGAAUUCUACAUUUACAAAUGAGUAAAUGACUCUGUGGUUGCAUUCCUCGUUUUACAUAUGGAUGACAUUCUCUUAAUCGAAAAUAACAUCCCUGCAUUAUAAGAAAUAAAAAUCUGGUUAUCGUCUCAGUUCUCUGAAGGACUUCGGAGAAGCAUCCUACAUCUUUGGGAUGAAAAUCUAUAGAGAUAGAUCGAAAAGGUUGCU